rnacentral:rRNA from 1 species
UCGAACGAGAAAGUGGAGCAUCCAUGAGUAAAGUGGCGUACGGGUGAGUAACACGUGGAUCAUCUGCCUUUUAGUGGGGAAUACCGCUGGGAAACCGGCGACAAUACCGCAUAAGCUCGAGAGAGGAAAGCCGAAAGGCGCUGAAAGAGGAGUCCGCGGUCGAUUAGCUAGUUGGUAGGGUAAUGGCCUACCAAGGCUGUGAUCGAUAGCCGGCCUGAGAGGGCACACGGCCACACUGGCACUGAAACACGGGCCAGACUCCUACGGGAGGCAGCAGUGGGGAAUCUUGCACAAUGGGGGAAACCCUGAUGCAGCGACGCCGCGUGAGCGAUGAAGCCCUUCGGGGUGUAAAGCUCUUUCGGCAGGGAAGAUUAUGACGGUACCUGCAGAAGCAGCUGCGGCUAACUACGUGCCAGCAGCCGCGGUAAUACGUAGGCAGCAAGCGUUGUUCGGAGUUACUGGGCGUAAAGGGUGCGUAGGCGGUUCUGUAAGUAUGGUGUGAAAUCUCCCGGCUUAACUGGGAGGGUGCGCUAUAAACUGCGGGGCUAGAGUGUGGGAGAGGAAAGUGGAAUUCCUGGUGUAGCGGUGAAAUGCGUAGAUAUCAGGAGGAACACCGGUGGUGUAAACGGCUUUCUGGACCAUAACUGACGCUGAAGCACGAAAGCGUGGGUAGCAAACAGGAUUAGAUACCCUGGUAGUCCACGCCCUAAACGAUGCAUAUUUUGGUGUGGGUCAUUCAGUUGAUCCGUGCCGGAGCUAACGCGUUAAAUAUGCCGCCCUGGGGAGUACAGUCGCAAGGCUGAAACUC